UUCCUUGGAUGUCUGAGA
rnacentral:snRNA from 1 species